UAUUCAAUAACAUUAUCUUUUUUGAUUGCUACUAAUUUAUUUAUGCUAAACAUGAAGACUAUCCCAUUGAUGUUCAUCGCCUUGAUCAUACUUUCAAUAUCAUUUCUAGCUCCGAUCAAAGCUCAAGGUAUCGUUGGCUGCGAUGUUGAGCUCGAUAAAUGUGUGGUCAUGAGAAAUAACCAACAAUGGGCUUUGCUAUAUAAUACAUGUUGUAAGAAAUUUAAAAAGCCAGGGCCACAACCUUGUAUGUGUUUGUUUUUUAAGUACCCUACGCCAAAGGAAACUGCUCUCAGCCUUCUUCGUUAUUGUAAAGCUCCAAUUCCCAAGUGUUAAAAGACCUUUAGUAAAAGAAAAUAACAACAAUAUAGUAAAUGUAUUUUUGACCUAAGUUAAUAUCCUAGUAGUUUGUAAUAGUGCUGCGACUCCGGUGUCAAAAUCUGGUAUCGAAUUUGGUUUUUACAUAGUUAAGUAAAUUUUAUGUAUUUUGGUACAUCAGAAUACUAUUACAUGGUGAUUUUUUAUUUCUCUUUUUCUUCGGAUUCUCUCUUCUUUUUUAAAUUCAAAGUAAUCUCUCGUCUCUAGGUUGACUGAUGGCGUCGAAAAAGAAGAAUUUGUGCAUCGGCUUACUCAACAAAAAGAAGGAUUAGAUUUACAAAUACAAGAGAUAGUGAAACUUGUAUUCGUAAGCCCUUGCGCUCACUUCUCUGUACUGAUUUCUUCGAAUUAAGGAGACUCACUUUAUUUCUUCUUUUGCAUAAAAUUAUUUAUAUAUAUAU